CCCUUAGAGUUUGAUCCUGGCUCAGGAUGAACGCUAGCUACAGGCUUAACACAUGCAAGUCGAGGGGCAGCGGUAUCGAAAGCUUGCUUUCGGUAGCCGGCGACCGGCGCACGGGUGAGUAACGCGUAUCGAACCUGCCUCAUACUCGGGAAUAGCCUUGCGAAAGUAAGAUUAAUGCCCGGUGUUUUCAGAGUCCCGCAUGAGGCUUUGAACAAAGAUUUAUCGGUAUGAGAUGGCGAUGCGUCCCAUUAGCUUGUUGGCGGGGUAACGGCCCACCAAGGCAUCGAUGGGUAGGGGUUCUGAGAGGAAGGUCCCCCACAUUGGAACUGAGACACGGUCCAAACUCCUACGGGAGGCAGCAGUGAGGAAUAUUGGUCAAUGGGCGGAAGCCUGAACCAGCCAAGUAGCGUGCAGGAAGACGGCCCUCCGGGUUGUAAACUGCUUUUAGUUGGGAAUAAAACGGGGCUCGUGAGCCCCCUUGCAUGUACCAUCAGAAAAAGGACCGGCUAAUUCCGUGCCAGCAGCCGCGGUAAUACGGAAGGUUCGGGCGUUAUCCGGAUUUAUUGGGUUUAAAGGGAGCGCAGGCGGACCUUUAAGUCAGCUGUGAAAUACGGCGGCUCAACCGUCGAACUGCAGUUGAUACUGGAGGUCUUGAGUGCACACAGGGAUGCUGGAAUUCAUGGUGUAGCGGUGAAAUGCUCAGAUAUCAUGAAGAACUCCGAUCGCGAAGGCAGGCAUCCGGGGUGCAACUGACGCUGAGGCUCGAAAGUGCGGGUAUCAAACAGGAUUAGAUACCCUGGUAGUCCGCACAGUAAACGAUGAAUACUCGCGGUUUGCGAUACAGUGUAAGCCGCCAAGCGAAAGCGUUAAGUAUUCCACCUGGGGAGUACGCCGGCAACGGUGAAACUCAAAGGAAUUGACGG
rnacentral:rRNA from 1 species